UAUGUGAAGGGGUGGGGUUGGGGAGAGUAGGGGUUGAAUUUUUAAUUAUUUUUUGUAUGGAGUAGGGGUAGGUGGGUUAAUAGGGGUGGAGUGAGAAAUAAUAUAAUAUUGUUAGAGUAUUUCCAUUUUUAGAAACAGGUCAAGUAUUAAGGGACGGCCCGAUAAGGAAAACAGGUCAAGUAUUCCGGGACGGAGGGAGUAGUUAAGAAGCUCUUCUUCCUUAAUUGUUGCUCAGCCUCAACAAUCGUCUCCAGCGGUUAAUUCGGACUCGGAGCUCAGAAAGAACGAACCAAGGACAAAGCUUAACGUAACGCGGAAUUAAGGUACUGCGGGGAUCAAUGGAGACGAGUAGUGGC